GAUGAACGCUGGCGGCGUGCCUAAUACAUGCAAGUCGAGCGAACAGACGAGGAGCUUGCUCCUCUGACGUUAGCGGCGGACGGGUGAGUAACACGUGGAUAACCUACCUAUAAGACUGGGAUAACUUCGGGAAACCGGAGCUAAUACCGGAUAAUAUAUUGAACCGCAUGGUUCAAUAGUGAAAGACGGUUUUGCUGUCACUUAUAGAUGGAUCCGCGCCGCAUUAGCUAGUUGGUAAGGUAACGGCUUACCAAGGCAACGAUGCGUAGCCGACCUGAGAGGGUGAUCGGCCACACUGGAACUGAGACACGGUCCAGAGUCCUGCGGGAGGCAGCAGUAGGGAAUCGUCCGCAAUGGGCGAAAGCCUGACGGAGCAACGCCGCGUGAGUGAUGAAGGUCUUCGGAUCGUAAAACUCUGUUAUUAGGGAAGAACAAAUGUGUAAGUAACUAUGCACGUCUUGACGGUACCUAAUCAGAAAGCCACGGCUAACUACGU
rnacentral:rRNA from 1 species